rnacentral:rRNA from 1 species
UACGGGGGGGGCAAGCGUUGUUCGGAAUUACUGGGCGUAAAGGGCGCGUAGGCGGCCUGCUAAGUCGAACGUGAAAUCCCUGGGCUCAACCCAGGAACUGCGUCCGAUACUGGUUGGCUUGAAUCCGGGAAAGGGAUGUGGAAUUCCAGGUGUAGCGGUGAAAUGCGUAGAUAUCUGGAGGAACACCGGUGGCGAAGGCGACAUCCUGGACCGGCAUUGACGCUGAGGCGCGAAAGCCAGGGGAGCAAACGGG